rnacentral:rRNA from 1 species
CGCGCAGGCGGUUCGGUAAGUCGGUCUUAAAAGUGCGGGGCUUAACCCCGUGAUGGGAUUGAAACUGCCGGACUGGAGUGUCGGAGAGGAAAGCAGAAUUCCUAGUGUAGCGGUGAAAUGCGUAGAUAUUAGGAGGAAUACCAGUGGCGAAAGCGGCUUUCUGGACGACAACUGACGCUGAGGCGCGAAAGCCAGGGGAGCAAAACG